rnacentral:pre_miRNA from 1 species
CUUAGAUUUGUCUAGAUACGGAUGUAUCAAGUCACAUUUUAGUAUUAGAUACAUUCGUAUCUAGACAAAUCUAAGACAAGAAAUUUGGGACAGAGGGAGUAGUUG